rnacentral:rRNA from 1 species
ACGUAGGUGGCAAGCGUUGUCCGGAAUUACUGGGUGUAAAGGGAGCGCAGGCGGGUCAGCAAGUCAGCUGUGAAAACUAUGGGCUUAACUCAUAGACUGCAGUUGAAACUGUUGAUCUUGAGUGAAGUAGAGGUAGGCGGAAUUCCUAGUGUAGCGGUGAAAUGCGUAGAUAUUAGGAGGAACACCAGUGGCGAAGGCGGCCUACUGGGCUUUAACUGACGCUGAGGCUCGAAAGUGUGGGGAGCAAACAG